GAGUCAGGAAAGGCGGUUAAAAAUUUGGAGAAGGUAUGUCUCACUUAUUACAUAUAUAACUUAAGUUAUAUUUUUUGAAAAUGUUGUGUUGUUUCUAACCAGAUUUUUUGUUUUCUUAUCAGGGCCAGAACCAGGAACCUGCACCUGCACCUGCACCUGUACCUAAACCUUCGACAUCGAAAGGUUCAAGUACAGGUUCCAAAGCGCCCAGACCGAGGCGCGGCAGACCAACCGGUGCAAACCGGACCCCUCUCUCCCUGGAAGAACGGCGCGCAAGAAAUGCGCAGUACGAAAGGGAGAGGAGGGAGGAUUUAGCCCAGGCCCAGGCUGAGCUAGCUGAGGCCGCUGGGUGCGACCCAAAUGUAUCGGAGGCCGACUUGUUGGCAUUUGUAGUCAAUAAGUUGAGUGCAGACAAAUUAGAAGUAAAGCAGAGCAUUGAAGAAUACAGGCGGUUAAACGCCAAGUUAGAGGCACA